rnacentral:pre_miRNA from 2 species
UGUCUUUUUCCGCUUUGCUGCCGAAGUGUAAAUACGAUUUGACAGCAAAGUGAAAGAGACUG